UUAAAGUACGGUGCAACAAUCUACAUUGAUUCAAAUAGAGUGAAGUCGUCUUCUUCCGGAACAUCAUCAUCACUCCCCAAACCCCAAGUUCCAUCCUGAAUGUCCUGCGACUCUGUUUCCUUUAGACCCACCGGCCCCAUCUCUCCCGUGGAGCCACAGAGCUGUCACGGGCGGAUGAGAAGGGCUGCUCGGCGUCUUCCCGCCCCGUGCCGACACGCAUGCGCUGUGCAGACGCGCCGCGUGGCCACGCCGUCACCAGGGCUGAUUUCCGGGUGGGGCUUCUAUUGCGCAUGCUCAGACAUCCUGCUGGGGCUUAUUUUAUGAGUAGGUCUUAUUUUCGGGGAAACAGGUAGUUACUCCUUCCAAUCGCCUAUCUCAGUGUCUCCACGGGGCGCCGUUGAGUGGUAGGGAAACACGGUAAAUGGAAGUGUCUAAAAUUGAGUCCUUAGAUAUGCCAACAUUCAGAAGCCAGAGAAGAGCCAGCGGAGGAGACUGAGAAAAAGUCACUGAGAUCAUUCAUUCCAGGGAGAGCCAGUAGUCACGUGAGAGCACCCAAGCAGCUCUGCAGACAGGAAGCAACUUGUAGCAACAACUCACCAUCCAUGGAAGUAUGUCUCCUGGAAGUGAAUCUCCUAUCCCCAAGCAAGCCUUCAGAUGACUGCAGCCUUGGCUGACACCUUACUACAACCUCAACCCAGCCAGAAACACCCAAUAAAGCCACUCCCAAAUUUCUAUCCAUAGUAAUUGUAAAAUAUAAUACAUUAGAUUACUGUUAUUUCAAGCCACUAAGUUUUUGGGGAUGAUUUGCUAUGCAACAAUAAAUAACCAACACAGUGACCAACUGGCAUAAUAUUAGCUAAGGUGUGACUUGGAAUUAGGCCAAAGAUUAUAGGUUGCCAGAGAUUUUAUCAACCAGAAAGCCUUCCAAAUCUAUGUAAGUCUCACAAAAUCUCCAUCAUUAGCUAGUUAAUUCCUUGACUAUAUCUUUCAAAAUUAACACCUAGAUCACAAGUUUGAAACUGCCCUUCAAUAACAGGGUACAAGGCGAGAACUAUGGUAAAGACCUAGCUAAAAAAUAAUGAUAAUAAUUAGUUGCUGUCCCCCUGUUUGCUUUUCUAUACUUGUCACUCCAGAGCCACAUAGCUGGUGGUCAUAAAGAUUCUUAACUUUCUCUAUAGAUAUUAAUAAACAUCACACUUUUGAAACCUAAAGGUAGCUUUAAAGAUAUCUUUGCUAACUGGACUUCUGCCCACCCACCAUGCCAAUGCCUGUCUCACCAGCCUCAUAUGAAAAGGCCAUUUGUUUCAGGGCGUGGACUAUAAAGAUGUGUCUGUGUUGCCAGGGUCCAAUGUGAGUUCUUAUUCUCAUGGCCUGUAUUAAUUCUUAUUCUUUUUCUCUAGAAAAGAGUAUUUAUUCAACUGCUCAUAUUCAAGGUUGCACAUCACUAUUACCAGGGAAUUCGUGAAGUGAAUAAAGCUAGUCUGUGAAUAAAUAACGAUUCCUGAGUUUUGAACCAGACAUAAUAAAUAGAGAUCCUUAUUGCUGCAGUGACCUCACUCAUAUUUUUAAGAAAUACCUCCUCAGGUGAUGCUGACGGACGGCAUCAGUCAUCAGCCGUAGGCGAACAUCUGGGAAGCCGUUGCCUCGAUGGGGUCUGGACUGGGAGACGCAUGAGAUGGGGAUGUGAGGGGGAAACACAGCUGGACAAUCCCAAGAUUAUGAAACAUUUACAUAGAUUUUCUUUUUUCC